UGCAGAAGCACCCGUUAGGUCGCCCAUGC
rnacentral:sRNA from 1 species